CGUCGUUCGCGAGCCGUCGUCCACCUCCACCACUCUCUCCAUCCACUCGUCAGAAGAGCUUCCUCAGACCUACCUGGUGGUCUCUCGCGCAUCUCACGUUCGCGUGCGCU
rnacentral:ribozyme from 1 species